UGAAGUGACCGGCUGGGCCCUUAGGAGAGUUGCCAACAUUGUGGCUCCUACAAUAGGGGUGUUUGUAAUUUAACUAGCUUGUGUGCCUACGUCAUAGUUGCUUGUGAAACCAUUUGAGAUUCAGGCGGUCGAUUCUGCAAAUUGUAACCAUCACGGCUUAUGCUUUUCAGGCGGUAUUGUCAUUGAUCGAUUCUACAAAGUUUAACCAUCACAGCUUAUGCUUU